AUGAGUAACACCGUCUUAUCCAUCUGUUCGUGGAACGUACGAGGACUUGGCGAUGUGUCUAAAUGCGCUGACAUAUUAUCAGACUUAAUCAGCAUCAGUCCACAUUGUGCACUCCUUCAGGAAUCCAAACUAAGCGAAAUUACAGACAAAAAAUUCCACUCCUUCCUACCAAAAUCUCUAGACCAAAAAUUAUUUCGCCCGGCCCACGGCUCGGCAGGCGGAACCGUCUCAGCGUUCAACUCAAACUUUUUCACUGUCCUAUCCCACACAAACUAUAACUUUGCCACCUCUAUUAAACUCACAUCUCUCGCACACCCACACCCCUUCAUCAUUACUAACAUAUACGCACCCGCAUGCCAUAACCUCAAACAAGCCUUCCUUGACGAACUAAAAUCAAUUAAGGAAGAUGACAACACACCUUGGCUAAUAGUUGGAGACUUCAACCUCCUUCGGUUCUCACACGAAAAAAACAAUCCAAACUUCCACCAACGAGAGGCACAUGCUUUCAACAACACGAUCAAUGAACUAGCGCUUAUCGAAUUACCCCUGCUAGAUAGAAGGUUUACAUGGCCCAAUAAA
rnacentral:rRNA from 1 species